UACGUAGGGUCCGAGCGUUGUCCGGAAUUAUUGGGCGUAAAGAGCUCGUAGGCGGCGUGUCGCGUCUGCUGUGAAAGACCGGGGCUUAACUCCGGUUCUGCAGUGGAUACGGGCAUGCUAGAGGUAGGUAGGGGAGACUGGAAUUCCUGGUGUAGCGGUGAAAUGCGCAGAUAUCAGGAGGAACACCGGUGGCGAAGGCGGGUCUCUGGGCCUUACCUGACGCUGAGGAGCGAAAGCAUGGGGAGCGAAC
rnacentral:rRNA from 1 species